GCUUGCUUCGGCAUAACAUAUACUAAAAUUGGAACUAUACAGAGAAGACUAGCAUGGCCCCUGCACAAGGAUGACAUGCAAAUUCAUGAAGUGUUCCGUAUUGAC
ensembl:snRNA U6 U6 spliceosomal RNA